rnacentral:rRNA from 1 species
UACGGAGGGGGCUAGCGUUGUUCGGAAUUACUGGGCGUAAAGCGCACGCAGGUGGCUAAGUCAGACGUGAAAUCCCUCGGCUUAACCGGGGAACUGCGUCUGAUACUGGAUGGCUUGAGUUUGGGAGAGGGAUGCGGAAUUCCAGGUGUAGCGGUGAAAUGCGUAGAUAUCUGGAGGAACACCGGUGGCGAAGGCGGCAUCCUGGACCAACACUGACGCUGAGGAGCGAAAGCCAGGGGAGCAAACGGG